rnacentral:rRNA from 1 species
GACGAACGCUGGCGGCGUGCCUAAUACAUGCAAGUAGAACGAGUUGCGAACGGGUGAGUAACGCGUGGUAACCUGCCUCAUAGCGGGGGUUAACUAUUGGAAACGGUAGCUAAUACCGCAUACCAUCAGUUUCGCCCAGUUGGGAUUAGCUUGUUGGUGGGGUAACGGCUCACCAAGGGGACGACUCCUAGCUGGUCUGAGAGUAUGACCAGCCACACUGGAACUGAGACACGGUCCAGACUCCUACGGGAGGCAGCAGUGGGGAAUAUGGCGCAAUGGGCGCAAGCCUGAUGCAGCCAUGCCGCGUGUAUGAAGAAGGCCUUCGGGUUGUAAAGUACUUUCGGCGGGGAAGCGUUACCCGCAGAAGAAGCACCGGCUAACUCCGUGCCAGCAGCCGCGGUAAUUC